AAUAGAAUGGCUGAGUGGUUAAAGCGGAAGACUGUAAAUCUUUUGUCGCAAGACGCAUAGGUUCGAAUCCUAUUUCUAUCA
rfam:Dictyostelium discoideum mitochondrial DNA, complete genome.